AUCCGGGGGCUGAAGUCGGUCCCAAGGGUAUGGCUGUUCGCCAUUUAAAGUGGUACGCGAGCUGGGUUUAGAACGUCGUGAGACAGUUCGGUCCCUAUCUGCCGUGGGCGUUUGAGAAUUGAGAGGGGCUGCUCCUAGUACGAGAGGACCGGAGUGGACGAACCGCUGGUGUUCGGGUUGUGAUGCCAAUUGCAUUGCCCGGUAGCUACGUUCGGAACUGAUAACCGCUGAAAGCAUCUUAGCGGGAAGCAGGCCUCGAGAUGAGUUCUCACUUUGACUUAGAGUCACCUGAAGGGCCGUGGCCGGAAGGAUCGUGGCUAGGCGGG
rnacentral:rRNA from 19 species